GGUGACUCAAUGGCAGAGUGCUUGCCUUGCAUGCAUGAGGCCCUAGGUUCAAUUCCUCAGCACCA
rnacentral:tRNA from 1 species